GCGCGAAAAACCGUGCUGCGUCAAUCAAAUGAUUAUCUAACACCGUCUGUAGAUUACUCUGGACCACGAAGUACAUCCACAAGACGGAGACUUAAUAUGUCUUGUGCUACGGCUACGUAUGUUCCUAGUAGUUUAAGUGACUCGACACCGCAUAAAAAUCAGUUUCCGUUAAUCCUACUCUAGGGUUUUCAUUGGAGAGCGCAAGUACAGAUUUUGGCUGGACCAGGAAUCCGAUCGAGAAUCACAUCGAACAUUGACUAGAUAUACGGAUGCAGAAUUCCUUGAAGAUUCGCUUAUAAUUGGAUCUCUGGACACUGACGCUGGAGAGUUAGUGACUACUUCAGCGAAUAUUGACGUGGUAGAUAUCCAUGAAAGUCCCUCAUCUGACAACAACGACGUCGCACAUUCGAUUCCAAGGUUGCUGACAACUCCGAAUUCUGAAGUUUUACCUCCACCGGUAGAAUUUUCUACGGUUAAUGUAGUUGCAGAGGUAAUCGAAAAUCCGCUUCACAACGAAUCUACUGGAAGAGGAGAUGGAGGGUUAUCGACUGCUCCAGUUAAUUCCAGAUCGCUGCCAAUAUCAAGUCCUGAAGUUCAACCUCCAGCUGAAGAAUUUUCUACGAGCAAUGUGGUUGCAGAGGUAAUCUAGAAUCCUCUUUUAAACCAAUCUGCUGGCAGAGGAGAAGAAGAGUCUCCUUCAGGUAAUGCGGCGCCAGAUAUACUUGAGGAUACCCUUCGUCUCGGAUCUGAUGACAGCGAUAAUAAAGAUAAUCCUGGAACUUCAGGGACUGCCGCCGCGGGACGCUUUGAAAAUGAUAUUGUCGUCAUUGAUUCAGAUAGUGAACAAGAUGAUGAUGAAAACCAGCGCUGCUGCUGCUGUCGAGUAAAUCGAGCGGUAAUUGCGUACACCGAGUGUAGACACAUGUGUGUGUGUGUGUGAGUCCUGUUCCUUAAGAGUUAGAGAUGGCCGGUGUCCGAUAUGCCGGAAGAGGUCGAAAUUUAUCCGCAUUUUUAUGAACUUGUAAACAGCUUCUACUUACAAGGAAACUCUCUUCGGUGUCCCCCUCCGAUUAUGAUUAAACUGAGAUAUGUUAUUCUCCGUCGAAAUCUAAGAGACACGUAUUUUUUUUUAUCUGCGGCACAACAUUUCUAGGGGUGAAACUACCCCUCAAAGUUUAGCCUCCAAAGGGGUGUUUUUCAAGUUUCGCAUACUUGCAGUUUAAAUAAUCGAAUGGGACCAAUCGCAUAAUUUUCAGGGUGGAAAAUCAUGAAAAAUGCUUUUGGUUUUAUAAUAAAACAAUGGAUAGAACAAAAGUUAUAAGGGUUGAAAAUCAC